GACGAACGCUGGCGGCGUGCUUAACACAUGCAAGUCGAACGAAGUGGAGAACGGGGGAGUAAUACGUGGGUAACCUGCCCUCCUUUUUGGGAUAAGCCUUGGAAACGGGGUCGAAUACCGCAUAAAGGGGGAUGGGCUCGCGGGCUAUCAGCUUGUUGGUGGGGUGAUGGGCUACCAAGGCGGUGAAGGGUAGCCGGCCUGAGAGGGUGACCGGCGACAUUGGGACUGAGAUACGGCCCAGACUCCUGCGGGUGGCAGCUGUGGGGGGUAUUGCUCAAUGUGCUAAAGCCUGAUGCAGCGAGUCCGCGUGGGGGAUGAAGGCUUUCGGGUUGUAAACCUCUUUAGCUAUCGUACGGGUAGGUGCAGAAGAAGCGCCGGCUAACUACGUGCCAGCAGCCGCGGUAAUUC
rnacentral:rRNA from 1 species